rnacentral:rRNA from 1 species
UACGAAGGGGGCUAGCGUUGCUCGGAAUUACUGGGCGUAAAGGGCGCGUAGGCGGACAGUUUAGUCAGAGGUGAAAGCCCAGGGCUCAACCUUGGAAUUGCCUUUGAUACUGGCUGUCUUGAGUUCGGGAGAGGUGAGUGGAAUGCCGAGUGUAGAGGUGAAAUUCGUAGAUAUUGGGAAGAACACCAGUGGCGAAGGCGGCUCACUGGCCCGUAACUGACGCUGAGGUGCGAAAGCGUGGGGAGCAAACAGG